rnacentral:SRP_RNA from 1 species
GCCGGGUAUGGGGGCGCAUCCCUGUAGGACCAGCUACUAGGAGGCUUCAGCGGGAGGACCAGCUGAGCCCAGGAGUCCUGGGCUGAGUGCACUACAUGGCUGGGCAUCUGCACUAUGUUCAGCAUCAACAUGGUGACCUCCCGGGAGCAGGGGACCACAGGUUGCCUAAGGAGGGGUGAAUGGGCCCAGGUCAGAAACGGAGCAGGUCAAAACUCUCAUGCUGAUCAGCAGUGGGAUUGCGCCUAUAAAUAGCCAGUGCACUCCAGGCUGGGCAACAUAAUGAGAUCCUGUCU